UACGUAGGUGGCAAGCGUUGUCCGGAAUUAUUGGGCGUAAAGCGCGCGCAGGCGGUCCUUUAAGUCUGAUGUGAAAGCCCACGGCUCAACCGUGGAGGGUCAUUGGAAACUGGGGGACUUGAGUGCAGGAGAGAAGAGUGGAAUUCCACGUGUAGCGGUGAAAUGCGUAGAGAUCCGGAGGAACCCCAGAGGCGAAGGCGGCAUCCUGGCCCAUUACCGACACUCAGACACGACAGCAUGGGGAGCGAACGGG
rnacentral:rRNA from 1 species